UGGGGAAUCUUGGACAAUGGGCGCAAGCCUGAUCCAGCCAUGCCGCGUGAGUGAAGAAGGCCUUCGGGUUGUAAAGCUCUUUUUACCAGGGACGAUAAUGACGGUACCUGGAGAAUAAGCCCCGGCAAACUUCGUGCCAGCAGCCGCGGUAAUACGAAGGGGGCUAGCGUUGUUCGGAAUUACUGGGCGUAAAGCGCACGUAGGCGGAUUGUUAAGUCAGAGGUGAAAUCCCGGAGCUCAACUUCGGAACUGCCUUUGAUACUGGCAAUCUAGAGUCCGGAAGAGGUUAGUGGAAUUCCCAGUGUAGAGGUGAAAUUCGUAGAUAUUGGGAAGAACACCAGUGGCGAAAGGCGGCUAACUGGUCCGGUACUGACGCUGAGGUGCGAAAGCGUGGGGAGCAAACAGGAUUAGAUACCCUCGUAGUCCCUGAGCGGGCUGGCAAGGCGCAU
rnacentral:rRNA from 1 species